GCCAGACUCCUACGGGAGGCAGCAGUGAGGAAUAUUGGUCAAUGGCCGAGAGGCUGAACCAGCCAAGUCGCGUGAGGGAUGACGGCCCUACGGGUUGUAAACCUCUUUUGUCGGGGAGCAAAGAGAGUCACGUGUGGCUCAUUGAGAGUACCCGAAGAAAAAGCAUCGGCUAACUCCGUGCCAGCAGCCGCGGUAAUACGGAGGAUGCGAGCGUUAUCCGGAUUUAUUGGGUUUAAAGGGUGCGCAGGCGGCACGGCAAGCCGGCGGUCAAAUCGCGGGGCUCAACCCCGCCCAGCCGUCGGAACUGCCGGGCUAGAGUGGGCGAGAAGUGCGCGGAAUGCGUGGUGUAGCGGUGAAAUGCAUAGAUAUCGCGCAGAACUCCGAUUGCGAAGGCAGCGUACCGGCGCCGGACUGACGCUGAGGCACGAAAGCGUGGGUAUCGAACAGGAUUAGAUACCCUUGUACC
rnacentral:rRNA from 1 species